UCUCCUCAGAAAAGAAAAUCAUGGACUUGGAGAAGAGACUUGUGGCUGCCUGAUGGGAGGGGGAGGGAGUGGGAGGGAUCGGGAGCUUGGGCCUAUCAGACACAACUUAGAAUAGAUUUACAAGGAGAUCCUGCUGAAUAGCAUUGAGAACUAUGUCUAGAUACUCAUGUUGCAACAGAACAAAGGGAGGGGGAAAAAAUGUAAUUGUAAUGUAUACAUGUAAGGAUAACCUGACCCCCUUGCUGUACAGUGGGAAAAUAAAAAAAAAAAAGAAUGACAUAAUGCCAUUUGCAACAACAUGGAUGGACCUAGAGAUUAUACAAAGUGAAGUCAUCCAGACAGAAAGAGACAAAUAUUAUAUGUAGAAUCUAAAUGACACAAAUGAACUUAUUUAUGAAAGAGAAAUAGACUUCCACAUGCUGUGGGUGUGGCCAUAAAAAAACAAAAAUAAAUUAUAAUGCUGUAACUUUAAACUUAUACAAUGUUUUAUGUCAAUUAUAUCCCAAUAAAGCUGGAAUAAAAAUAAAAAUCUUGGGUGGAACUAAAGUCUUUGAGGGAGGAAGUUGGUUAAAGAGAGUAUUCUAGUAACCAAAUAAUGAAAUUUUCAAAUUUCCCAAAGGGAAAAAGUAUAUAACUAUUUGGAACAAGUUAAGUUUGGAAUCAGUGAAAGGUCAUAUGUCUAGGACAUUUCUGAGGAUCAUAGAUCCAUACUGAACCUCAAAAAUGAAAAGUAUUCUAGAGAAAAUGCUGACUAUUGAGUUCAUAGGUGUUCAAUUUCUCUAAGAAAAAAGUGAGAUAAGGAGUCAAGUCAUUCAAUUUCUAACAAGGUUUGCAGUGGUUUGUCUAGUUCUAUGAUUUGUUUAAAUAAUACAGCGUCUUCCCCUUGUUUGGUAAUUGCAAGGAUUAUUAUAGUCUGCCAGAGAUAAAAGUGGUAUUUUACCUGCUGAAUAGAUUGGAUCAGAGUGUGAAAUGCAGGAUUAAAGAGGCUGGAUGCACAGGCAUCCACAUGGUCCUGGGGUGUGUGUUCUAAAGGGAUGCUCAUUCCAUACUUUAUGUCCUCAGAAGAGCUUGGGGACAUGACAAACCAUAACUCUGUAUUAAUAAUGGUAUUUUUCCAUUUUUUUGGUGUUUGGGUUUUUUGUCUUUUUGUAAAUAUCUCUGUACCUGUCUUAUCCCUGAUAUAUUUUUUAAAAACUGAACAUAACUCAAAGGCAUCUUUUUUUCAAUCCAUAAUCAUCCUAUUGGAACAACCAUGCAUAACUCAUUCCGAAAAUAUUCUUUCGCUCACUCUAAGUUAGGACUAAGUUAAUUGAUGCCACCUUCCACCUUUGCCCUCCACAGAAUCCUAUUUUACUAUUUUACAGCAGUUUGUCUAGUAUACUGUAAAUAUCUGUUUACAUGUCUCCCUCCCAGGUAAACUUUGAAUUUCUGGACUGCAGUAUCUAAGUUAAAAGAAAAAAAAAUCUUUUUCUUCUCUGUCCUUGUAACAACAUUUCGUCUUCAGUAAAUGAUGAAUGCGUGAAUAAAUGAGUCACCUACUUUCACCUAAAUGUUCUCAAUGUCCCAUUAUUCUCAGUCUAUAUACUUCUCUCUACACGAGUCCUUUGUUUUCUUCAUCUGAAUUUUUGCUCCUGCUUUGUCAUCUGUAGUAGGUAGAAUUGUGUCCUCCAAAAGAUAUGUCCAAGUUCUAGGCCCCUGUACUUGUCAAUGUGACUUUAUGUAGGUAACUAAGAUAAGGAUUUCAAGAUGAUAUCAUCUUGAAUUAGGUCGUUUCAAAGAGGAAUUACACUGGACAAAUUAAAUAGGCAGAGAAGACUUCAAGUCUUGCAGUAGGGGAGAGAGAUACAAUUUAACUCCCCUGAAACAAACAACAGGAGGAUUUUUUGAUGCUGCAGUGAGCUAGUGGAAAAUUACUGGGAGAUGUUAGAGGAGAGGCUGGUCAGUGUAAUGAGGUCAUCUGUGUUUCCUGUCACCUGAGUCAGAGCCCUACUCUCCCACAGAGACUGGAAGAGAGGAGCACUAUCUUGAUGGCUCUCAGGUUCUGGAGAAAGGUGUUUCUGGAUUCAAAAAACUGUAAAAAGGCUGAAGAAGAGAACUAAUUUAUAACUGCAGGUUUUCUAAAUAAAUGCUCUAGGAAAAGGGAGAUCAGGGGCCUAGAGUCAGGAAGAAGCCUGUUGAAGCUUUAGUCCAGCUUUAGCUUUAGGAAAAGUUAAAGCUCUCUUGGUCUUAUGUGAGCCUUAAGUGCACAGUGUUCUUGUGUCCUUAUGUGAGACAGAAAAGAAGAAGACAUAUAGAGACACAGAAGGAGAAGGCAUGUGAACACAGAGACAGAGACAGGAGCAAUGUGUCUAUGAGCCAAGAAAUGCUAAGGAUUUCUGAAAGCCACUAGGAAUGAAGAGAGGCCUGGACUUCAUGCUCCCCUGAGCCUUCAGAGGAACUAUCCCUGCCACCACCUUGAUUGAGGACUUUAGUACAAUGAGAUAAUGGAUUUCGUUUUUUUGUUUGUUUGUCUUUUUAGGGCCGCGCCCAGCACAUAUGGAGGUUCCCAGGCUAGGGGUCAAAUCAGAGCUGUAGUUGCUGGCCUAACAACAGCCAUAGCAACACCAGAUCCGAGCCACAUCUGCGACCUAUACCACAGCUCACAGGAAUGUUGGAUUGUUAAACCGAUGAGCGAAGCCAGGGAGCCUGCAUCCUCAAGGAUACUAAUCAGAUUCGUUUGUGCUGAGCCAAAACAGGAACUCUCUGGAUUUCUGUUUUUUUUUUAAAGCCUACCAAUUUGUCAUAAUUUGUUAAGGCAGACCUAGGAUUGUAAUACAUCUUCUUUCCAGAAAGUUUUUUCUCUAUUUCCCAUUUAAUUCCAAACAUUAGAAUUGAAUACCUCAUUUAAGCCUCAUCUUAAUUGUUUUGUCUUCCAUUCCAUUCUCUCUUAAUUUUUUCUUUUCUUCUAUUUCAGAACCACCAAAAAGCCAUGGUUUAUUCCUCUGGAUUUUUAAAUAAUGAUAAUGUCAAGGAAGGAUAGUAUGGCUGAAAUUGGUGUAGUAUUCACUCCAUCAAGCAUGCUUUAUGUCUUAUCCCCCCCUUUUUUCGGCCAUGCUCACAGAAUGUGGAAGUCCCCAGGCCAGGGACUGAACCCACAGCACAGCAGUGACAACACUAGGCCACCAGGGAACUCUCUUUUAUCCUAUUUUAGUAUUAUAAAAACAUAAAAAGGAAAGCAUUUUUCUUUGUAUUAAAAAUAGAGACACUGUGGAACAGUUUGAUUAAAUAAUACUAACUCGUAGGAUAAAACUUUAAGAGAUCAGAGUCCAGAACCUGUUUCUUAACUAUCUUACUACAUUUAUCUGUUUAUGUCAUUGAAUAUUUAACUCUCUUAUAUCUCACAUUGUCCUAUGUUGUAUUGUCUCAUAUUAUAGUUAUUUAUGUACUAUUCUAGUACAAAUUAUUCAAUUGAGAUAACUAGAAAUCCAAGAUGCACAAUCAUAUCCAUCUAAUGUUCCCAUUUUAAAGGCUUGCUAAUAUUAUUUAUAUUAUUAUACAUUUCUUUAAACUUUUAUAAUUCAAGAAGGAAUUUGAGGUACCUUGCUUGAACACCUUUAACCUUUAACCAAUUUAAAAGUUCUAUUGGGAGUUCCCGUCGUGGCUCAGUGGUUAAUGAAUCUGACGAGGAACCAUGAAGUUGCAGGUUUGAUCCCUGGCCUUCCUCAGUGGGUUAAGGAUCUGGCGUUGCUGUGAGCUGUGGUGUAGUUCACAGAUGUAGCUCGGAUCUGGAGUUGCUGUGGCUGAGGCAGAGGCUGGUGGCUACAGCUUCAAUUAGACCCCUAGCCUGGGAACCUUCAUAUGCCAAGGGUGCGGCCCUAGAAAAGGCAAAAAACAAAAACAAAAAUAAAUAAAUAAAUAAAAGUUCUAUCGCAUUUAUCUUUUCACAGCAUUUAGCACGAUUUUUUGAAGAUCAGAAGUGCCCAAAUUUUGUUGAAUGAAUAUAAUUAACCCAGGUCUUGGCCCCCAGCUGUCCUCUAAUUCCCCAGCAUUCUAGAAUCAUAUUUUCCUUUAAUAUUUUAAAAGCAGGGCUAGGGCUCCUAUUCUACAUACAGUGGGAAGUUCAUUGCUCUUCUGCCCCACAAAACUUAUGAAUCUUAUAGGUUAGGAGAGGGCGCCAUAUAUUUUCCCUGGUCACUUGUCACCUGAGUUGUUUUCCUUUGAAUCCCUGCUCUUAGCUCCACUCUAUGGCUUAUCUCCUGAGAUUGUCAUCCUUGUGCUAUAUUAGACACUGCUCUAGUGACAUAAGCAUGUGGGGUUAUAGACUCUUAUUGAUGGCCUGGAAUAUAAAGGGGAUUAAAGUACAUCACAGCUUUCAGUUAUUCACCCAAUAAUUCCCCAAACAUUCAUUCAUUCACUGUCUAGUGGCCCUGUGUUGGGUACUGCAGAGACAAGGAUAAGCAAACAAAUACAAGUCUCUACCAUCAUUCAGCUCAUAUUCUAGUCAGGAAGACAAAACUCAUACAGGUACACAUAAAUGUAAAGUUACAACUGAGGUAAGUGUGAUGAAGGAAAGGCCCAUGGUAGAUUGAGAGCUAUGGUAGUGGGCUUGACUGAGAAACUAAAGGAUAAGUAGGCAUUAACCAUCUCUACAUAUAGAGAGGGAGAGGCAGAGGACAUUGGAGAAAGGGGCGACAGCACGUGCAAACAAAUAGUAGUCAGGUGGAGCAAGGCACAUUAUGGCAACUGCAAGAAACUCCAUGUGUUAGGAAUGUGUAGACCUGGGCCAAGAAGGGAGAGAGAAGUCAGUGUGGAGAAGCCAUGAAAGCCACUUAAAGAAAUGCACAGUUGACAUCAUGCUUCCUCAACAACAUAUAUAAUCUUAAUCCUAAAGUUAAGGGAGAAUUAUUGAAGAGUUUGAAGCAGGGGAUUGACAUGAUCCAAUUUGUAUUUUGAAAAAGAAAUUUUUUUUGGCUACACUGUAGAGAUGAGAAAACAAGUAAGGCAUGGUGGAUGCAGGGGUUAUAAAGGAGGAGGCCUUAGUCCAGGGUAAGAGGUAAUGGUUUGGGAUUAGGAAAAUGAUGGUAGAGAUGAAGCUAAAUGGAAGGAUUUGGGAAGUGUUUAGUGAGGCAUCAAGCAAGAAGAUGUAGUGAUAUAAGAAGCAUAGGAUGUCAAAUAGGGUAUAGGAAGCAGCUUGAAAAAAUGUGUAUUAGACAUUAUGCAUUAAAAACUAAUCAGGUUUUUUUUGAAUAUGGAAAUUCUCCCCAGCUAUAUCUAUCCUUAGGCUCUUUCCUAAGAGCUUCUCCUUUAAACCUGCUGUCUUUCCUUCAAAACCAUAUUCCAGCACACCUUUCAGGGUCCUGGGGCUGUGUGUGGCAGUGACCCCAGUGGGCAUAGUAUACUUCAAGCUUCCUCUAGCCUUUCAUAUCCUAGCAUCUCAUUUGCUGCUGACCAGCUGUAAUAGCUAUAUCUUCGAGAAGAUCACCUUUGUAUUAUUUUCUAGUUCUCAUUCUAUAUGUCAUGCCCUUCCCUCAAAAAUGUCAGUUUUAGUAACUCAAAAUGUCUCACAGAAACUGAAAGCUAAUAUGUAGUCGUCUACACAGAGUAAGUUUUUCACAUUAACAAUAUAGAAUCAAAAUGCUUAAUAACAAUGAUUUGCAAAUCUAUAUAUUCUGGGGAGGAAGAAUAUCUCUACCUAACAUUGGCUCUGUUCUUGUGCUCUUUUAAAGGAAACACUCUUCUUUGCCAGAACGUCCCUUGUUUCCACAUCCAGAUUUUUUCACCAAGGUGGAUAAAGAGUUGGCAAGAAUCAUUGACCAUCACUGGCAGGAAGAGCUAAAGAUCCGACAAAAUGAAGACGCAAUAUGUGAGGCCGAAGAACGUAAAAAUAAAGAGUUAGAGGAGAAAAGGCACCUCAGAGAAAUUAUGAAGAGAAGAGAAGAGAAACUGCACAAGCAAACCAAACCCUAUGAGCUUCCUCCUAGGACUGAAGUAAUUUCAUCAGAAAAGAAAAUGACCCCUCAAAACCGAGGUCUAUAAGCCAGAAAUUCAUUGCAUGCAAGAAACCAAGAUAGUUACAAGUUAGGAAAAAAAUUCUUAAUUAACUGUAAGCCAUUUCUUAGAAAGGAGUUGUUAUCCUAAUGCAGGCUCUUUAAGAGUCCUAUCUAGUCCCAAAUUAACAGUUAGCCCUUAAUAUUUGAGUGAAGCAUUUUGCUAGUUAAAUAUUUUUAAGAAUAUGGCUAGAGCUUUUCCUGGUUGACUCCUAUCUUGUGAUCCUACACAUACUUGAUGAUUCUUGGAGUAUUGACACUCAUUGGACUGUUAGAUGGAAAUGAACUGCAAAUUAUUAAUGAGUCAAAAAUAAAAGGAGUGAACAUCAACUGAUGCUCCUAUAACAACUGUUAUACAAAUAAAAGAAGUAAGGCCUCUUUUUGAAUUUGUGUUUCAUAGUCAAUCUAUGCUAAAUCAAACCAUAUGUCAGAAGCAUGAAUUCGAUAAAUUACUCUAUAUAGACAAAUAUGGACAGGCCAGUCAUCUCAGGGUGAAUUCAUCUUUAACAGAUACCAAAGGAGUCUUCUGAGUGACAGUGAGUUUGCUUUGGCAGAUAAGGUGGUAAGAAUGGAUUUGUAUGGUCCUAGAAGGUAUUUGCACUUACUGGAGGGAUUCAUCAAGUCAGGGAUCAUUUUAAAAUUGACCUUUCACUUUUUCUGAUACUCUCUAUCCAUGGGUUAGAGUAAUGGAGUGGGGUUCUUAUGAUACCUUACACUCGUUUUCUAAAAAAGAUAAAUAAUCACAGCUCACUUUUGCACAAGUGACUUGGUGAUAUUCGAGAGACAAAAACUUUAUUGGGAUGUCAAACUCAAAUGACUUCCAGGUCAGAAAGGUAACAUAACAUAAAUUAGUGAUGGGGCAAAAGAAUACAAGUCUACCCAAAGAAACUUUCCACCACUUGGCUGCACUGCAGUGUGCGUCCAGUGGUGUUGGGGGCAUCCAGCCUUUUAAAAAGAAGCCCUCCAUCUUUUUAAAAAUAAAAGUUGAUAAAUUUCAAAAUGUUGGCAACUGAUUUUUCUAAAAAAAAAAAA
rnacentral:lncRNA from 1 species